rnacentral:lncRNA from 1 species
CAGCGGUGGCAGCUGCUCCUUCGGAAUGUUCGGUCUGUUUUCCCUACGGAUGCGCUGCUACGUUUCAAAAUUAAAUUUGUAACAGUUCAAGGAUGUACAACAUUCAAAUUUUGUCGCGCAAACAUAACCAACACACUGGAGGGUACGAACGUACACAACAACUACUACAAUUGGUUACAUACAAAUUACAACAUUAACAUACACAUCAUACACCCAUCAUUUACAUCAAAGAGAUUCCCACCGCAAUCCAAUCUCGA